rnacentral:rRNA from 1 species
GACGAACGCUGGCGGCGUGCUUAACACAUGCCAGUCGAACGGAAAGGCCCUGCUUUUGUGGGGUGCUCGAUUGGCGAACGGGUGAGUAACACGUGAGUAACCUGCCCUUGACUUUGGGGUAACUUCAGGAAACUGGGGCUAAUACCGGGUAGGAUCUCCUGCUGCAUGGUGGGGGUUGGAAAGUUUCGGCUGUUGGGGAUGGACUCGCGGCUUAUGAGCUUGUUUGUGGGGUAGGGGCUUUCCAAGGCUUUGAGGGGUAGCCGGCCUGGGAGGGUUAACGGCGACAUUGGGACUGCGAGACGGCCCAGAAUCCUACGGGAGGCAGUAGUGGGGAAUCUUGCACAAUGGGCGGAAGCCUGAUGCAGCAACCCCGGGUGCGGGAUGACGGGCUUCGGGUUGUGAACAGCUUUCGCAUGUGACGAAGCGUGAGUGACGGUAAUGGGUAAAGAAGCACCGGCUAACUACGUG